AGCCACAACAUUUAGGAGCUGCCGAUACAAAGGCCUGACCCAGAAGAAAUUCUCCGUCACCUGUACCAUCAAGAUCAAGAUCAAGAUCAAGGCGGCCCUCCACGCCGAGGAGGAAAUUCACCAACCACAUCAUGAAAACAGGAAACAAACCUCUGGCCAGGGAACUUGUCGAGAAGGUGAAAGGUCACAACUAGUCAGCCGGGAGUGGGUCAGGAUGGCACGGCUGGCUGUGGUGGUGGUGGUGGUGGUGGUGGUGGUGUUGGCGGCAGCAGCGGCGGGAAGGCCAGACUACACGCUGUCCCACAAAUUUAUUGAAAUGUUGCAGAGUGAACAGUCCACUUGGAAGGUUGUGUCAAGAUAUGGAGGGAGAGAGAACAGCCAAGGAGGAGGAGGAACAGGAACAGGAAGAUAACAAGAAGAAGAAGAAGAAACAAUGAAUGAAGACAAA